ACUACGGGAGGCAGCAGUGAGGAAUAUUGGUCAAUGGGCGUAAGCCUGAACCAGCCAAGUCGCGUGAGGGAUGAAGGUUCAAUGGAUCGUAAACCUCUUUUAUAAGGGAAUAAAGUGCGGGACGUGUCCCGUUUUGUAUGUACCUUAUGAAUAAGGAUCGGCUAACUCCGUGCCAGCAGCCGCGGUAAUACGGAGGAUCCGAGCGUUAUCCGGAUUUAUUGGGUUUAAAGGGUGCGUAGGCGGCCUUUUAAGUCAGCGGUAAAAGGCGGUGGCUCAACCCCAGAAUUGCCGUUGAAACUGGGAGGCUUGAGUAUGUGUGAGGCAGGCGGAAUGCGUGGUGUAGCGGUGAAAUGCAUAGAUAUCACGCAGAACCCCGAUUGCGAAGGCAGCCUGCCAAGCCAUGACUGACGCUGAUGCACGAAAGCGUGGGGAUCGAACAGGAUUAGAUACCCGUGUAGUC
rnacentral:rRNA from 1 species